CCUACGGGAGGCAGCAGUGAGGAAUAUUGGUCAAUGGACGGUAGUCUGAACCAGCCAUGCCGCGUGCAGGAAGACGGCUCUAUGGGUUGUAAACUGCUUUUGUACAAGGGUAAACCUGAAUACGUGUAUUCAGCUGAAAGUACUGUACGAAUAAGGAUCGGCUAACUCCGUGCCAGCAGCCGCGGUAAUAUGGAGGAUCCAAGCGUUAUCCGGAUUUAUUGGGUUUAAAGGGUGCGUAGGUGGACUGAUAAGUUAGUGGUGAAAGUUUCGGGCUUAACUCGGGAAUUGCCUUUAAUACUGUUGAUCUAGAGAGUAGAUGCGGUAGGCGGAAUGUAUGGUGUAGCGGUGAAAUGCUUAGAGAUCAUACAGAACACCGAUUGCGAAGGCAGCUUACCAAUCUAUAUCUGACGCUGAGGCACGAAAGCGUGGGGAGCAAACAGGAUUAGAUACCCCUGUAGUC
rnacentral:rRNA from 1 species